GUUUUCACCGCGUUUCCCGAAAGCAUCGUGGGGAGCGAACGUCUUGAAAACGCUCGUAGCUAACGAGUACUCCAGGGGUGCUCGUAGGUACUCGUAGGACUCUAAGAGAAUCGUCAGCUAUAGCCUCAGUGGCGACACCAUCGGACAUUCCGUCUAUUGGAUGCGUUUUAGUAAAACGCAUUGAGCCUUUAUGUUCUUAGUUUGGUAAUUAAUAAAGAUUAUUAAUUAAUUUAUUAAUAAAGAUGUUAAAAUGGCCAAAAUAAAACGGGACACAUCGUGGGGAACGAACGUCUUGAAAACGCUCGUAGCUAACGAGUACUCCAGGGGUGCUCGUAGGACGCUAAGAGCAUCGUCAGCUAUAGCCUCAGUGGCGACACCAUCGGACAUUCCGUCUAUUGGAUGCGUUUUAUUAAAACGUAUUGCGCCUUUAUGUUCUUAGUUUGGUAAUUAAUAAAGAUUAUUAAUUUAUUUAUUAAUAAAGAUGUUAAAAUGGCCAAAAUAAAACGGGACAGUCCAGAAAAUGUUUGCGCAGGCAGGGCACUCAAAAUGUGUGAGAGAAAGUGGGGAUUUCAUCGUCAGCUAUAGCCUCAGUGGCGUCACCAUCGGACAUUCCGUCUAUUGGAUGCGUUUUAUUAAAACGCAUUGCGCCUUUAUGUUCUUAGUUUGGUAAUUAAUAAAGAUUAUUAAUUAAUUUAUUAAUAAAGAUGUUAAAAUGGCCAAAAUAAAACGGGACAGUCCAGAAAAUGUUUGCGCAGGCAGGGCACUCAAAAUGUGUGAGAGAAAGUGGGGGGAUUUGUGCAGACUGACAUAGGCUACUCAUAAAACGUAGCAUAAAAUAAUGUAAAAAAAAAAUUAAAUUAAACAAAU
ensembl:lncRNA